GAAGUGAAAGCAGGAGCGUUUAGUUUAAAACGGCCCGAUAAUGAGAUGUUGUAGCGUCCUGGUGGAGUUUAGAGCAGCAGUGAGGAUCAUUUCAGUUCUGAUUUAUAGACUAAAUCCAGUGUUUCAGAUGACCAGCUUGGUGAAACAACUCAAGGUAAGUACUGUGCUUUAUUCCUGUUUACAUGUUCAUGUGUCAUAUUCAGUCUGUGUCACAUGGGAAGAAAAAGACAGAAUUGGGUUUAAUGUAGCCUAAAUGCGGCCUUUAUGUCAAGACAAUUUUUUAUAUAACUCUGACUGGAUUUGUCUGAAAGAAGGAGGUCAUAUACACCUUGGAUGACUCGAGGGUGAGUAAAACACAGUCCAAUUAAAAUUUUUGAGAGAACUAACCCUUUAACUUGCACUGUUUCACUGUUUGUAUCACUCAGCUUGCAGUAAUUCUCACAGCAAGUGUCAUGGCGGAUACCUAAAUCCACUAAAAUUUCUAAAAUAAUACUGAUUUUUUAGGCGAGAAUUAAAAAAAAAAAAGAACUGCAAUAAAAAUGCAUACAAACUAUUUACUAACGCAGUUCUCAACUGGUUUGGCCAUGGGACCCAUCAAGUCGCAAGACACUGAGUUAGUCGCGGAGUGUACAGUCAAAGAAACAACAUCAGCACAAAAAAAGAUUGUACAAUUCCAAAUUGAAUUCUAUAUGUGGUGCAUAAACCCAGAUGUCACAAACACAUUCAGGUGGAAUCAAAGGACAGAGGUGACUUUCUCUAUUUCCCCACAGUUUCUUUAAUCUCCUCCUCCCUGCCCUUCUGCUCAAGGUGAAUAUAUAAAGCUUGUGCAUGUCAAAUGUUGUUGGGAUAAAAUAACUCUGAGCGUGUGGCACAGCGUAGCGAGUUGUGUUGGUUGCGAACGGAGGAAGAGUGGGCUGUCAGCAGUGGUUUGGGCCGUCUGAUGAAGCAGGUCUGUAAUGAGCUGAUGAAGGCUACAUAUACAGCUCGGCACCACUCCGCAAAUUCUAAAGGUGAUGAGGGCUGGCAUCCUCACCCGUGAUGAGAACUCCCUGCUGCUUUGCACUUUGAUGUGUUUGUAUGUGCGGUGAAGAGAAGGAGCGCAUUUGUGAAUUUGUUUGUUUUGUUUAGUCUAGAGGGUUUACACUAAUAGAAUGAAUGUUGUUUUAAGCUACUCACACUGUUGCUAGCACCUGGUGCACACUAGAACAAUGCAUUGGGCAAUAGUCACAUCACUCCAGCUUUAUCCUGUGAUGAGGCAUGCUUUUUGAACAAAGGAAAACAACUACAGACAAAUGUAAAGAACUUUGCUUUGCAAAUAUUCUUUGCUGCAGUAUUUUAAGGCAGCUAACUUUCUGCAAUAAAAAUAAUAAACAUUUAAUGACACUAUUUUAUUUUUUUUUAUUCGUUGAUGCGUGCUUACAUGAACUGUCUAUG
ensembl:lncRNA